CAGGGGUGUGGCUUUUCGCUUUGCCAGCAGUACAAAGUUUUCACCUGGUGACAAGACCUUUAGGGCAUAUGACUCAGGAAGACAUCUGGAUGACCAUUUGGCAUUGGACAACCAACUGGUGUGCUCUUCUCUGGGGAAGACCAGACAUCUCUCUUGCUCCCAGCUUUUCUCAGUUACCUACUGUUCUUUGUAGGCUCUGCCAAGGAGAAGGGCCACUCUUCUAUCAUCGGCAUUUGAACCAUCAGCAAUUUUGAGCAUCUCCAUCUUCAGAACAUCACAAAUGGACCACUGCUUGCUGCCUCCACAGCUGCCAUUCUCUUACCUGUUCUUGAAGCUCUGAAAAUAACCUAUUAAACAUUGGAUUCCUGCUUUCACUCUUUCUUCCCCUCUACUGCAACAUCAUGACAGGCUCAGAGAGGAGUCCACCUCUUCUGCUCCUCCAAGGAAGCAACUCUCCCCAACAUUGAAAACUUCCAGGAAUUUGCUGUGUCAAGGGUUGGAAGAACAACAGUGGUCCAAGAUUACUUCUCACAGAGAAGAUAUGGAGAAUGAUUGAGUUGCUAUUGGUCAAUUGUAUAAUAGUUGGCUUUGCAUUCUCUGCAAAUGGCCCUUCCAAAAGAAAGUCUCUGCUGCUUCUCUCUGUGAAGGAAGGUCUGAAGAUUCCAUGCUGGCUAUGCAGAGCUGACUAUACUAAGAGUUUCUUCACUCUUCCAUCCCUCCAUUUCAAGCAACUGCGAGCUAACACAGAUCCAUAUGACAUAUGGGGGAGAGGGGCCUAAGAAGGAGGCCAGAAGCAAAGAAUUUGGAUCCACCAACAUCACGGAGCACAGGAGUUGUUCUACUAGCACUGAAUAGUUUGAAAAAUACCAGUACAACAUAGAACCUCCUUACAAUGAACUCUUCAGCUGGAUUUCCUGAGCUCAGCCUAGUGUUUGACUGUGGAUCUCUGCAUCUGUUUCUACCAGUGGUUGGAUGAAGCCUAUCUGAUGGCCAUCGGGC